rnacentral:lncRNA from 1 species
GGGAUGUGUGCUGGACAGCACUUGUUCCUGCCGUAUGCCUGCAGCCCUCAGGGGUGACUUUGGUGACCCACCCCCAUGGAAAGAGCUGGGACUGAACCAGCAACAAGAACCCCCCGCCUGGCCAGGCGCGCUCCUCAAAUCCCAGCGGCUCCGGAAGCUGAGGCAGGAGGGUCGUGAGUUCAAAGCCAACCUCAGCAAAAGCUAGGUGCUAAGAAACUCUUCGAGACCCUGUCUCUAAGUACAAUAUUUAAAAAGGCUGGGGUGUGGCUUGGUGGUUAAGCACCCCGGAUUUAAUUCCUGGUACCAAAAAAAAACACAAACAAACAAAAAACCUGCUUGGGGUCCAGAGGCACAAUAAUUGUGGUUGGGGUCAAGACCUAUCAGAUCUCAUUCCACGACUUCCCCGGAGAAAGAACUGAACUCGCCAUGGAGAUGCAGGACCACCGUGAGCAGGAGGUCAGGGUGGGGCAGACUGGGGUGGCCAACCAUACCCCAUCACCAGCACUUCUCAGAGUGUGGUCUUCUUGGACCUGGCUAUAGAAAACAGAGUCACAUCCUGGGAAAACUCCUUCUUCUCUUUUCAUUUCUUGUUAAGAUCCCAUUUAAGACUGGGGGUGUAGCUCCGUGGUACAGUGCUUGCCUAGCAUGUGCGAGGCCCUGGGUUCCAUCCCCAGCGCUGCAAAAAUGUAAGGAAGAAGGCGAAGGAAAAGGAAAAGAAGAAGAAGAAAGAAGCCCUGCUUGGUGACACACACCUGUAAUCUCAGUGACUCUGGAGGCUGAGGCAGGAGGAUAGAAAGUUCGAGGCCAGUCUCGGCAACUCUCAAAAUAAAAAAGGCUAGGGAUAUAACUCCAUCACAGAGUACUCGCCUAGUAUGUGUGAGGCCCUGGAUUCCAUCUCCAGUACAAAA